CCCUUAGAUGUCCUGGGCCGCACGCGCGCUACACUGAGUGUCUGAGAUACGAGUCUGCCUGGUCCGGCAAGGUCUAGGUAAUCGCUAAAAGACACAUCAUGCUUGGGAUAGAUUAUUGCAAAUAUUAAUCUUGAACGAGGAAUUCCUAGUAAGCGCAAGUCAACAGCUUGCGUUGAUUACGUCCCUGCCCUUUGUACGCACCGCCCGUCGCUCCUACCGAUUGAAUGAUCCGAUGAAUAUCAUGGAUUGAGGAUGCAAGUAGGUUCGCCUAUCUUCAUCUUCGAGAAGUGAAGUAAAUCUUAUCAUUUAGAGGAAGGAGAAGUCGUAACA
rnacentral:rRNA from 1 species